CUGGUGUGGUUGUUGCUGGCCCUCUCGGGGGCAUGUGCACACCCACCAUCCUCAUCUCUCCACCUGUGCACCNCUUGUAGACCUGGAUUGACUUUCCGAGGCAACUCGGUCGGGAAGAUUGCUGCGCUCUGUGAGCCAGCUUUCUUUGCAUGUCCAGGCCUAUGUUUUUCAUAUACCCCUAUAGAAUGUAACAGAAUGUAUCAUUGGGCCUUGUGCCUAUAAACCUUAUACAACUUUCAGCAACGGAUCUCUUGGCUCUCGCAUCGAUGAAGAACGCAGCGAAAUGCGAUAAGUAAUGUGAAUUGCAGAAUUCAGUGAAUCAUCGAAUCUUUGAACGCACCUUGCGCUCCUUGGUAUUCCGAGGAGCAUGCCUGUUUGAGUGUCAUUAAAUUCUCAACCUUAUUAACUUUUGUUGAUAAUGGAUUGGAUUGUGGGGGUUUCUUUUGCUGGCUUCUUCACAGAGAUCAGCUCCCCUUAAAUGCAUUAGCUGGUGCCCCGCGUGGACCAUCUAUUGGUGUGAUAAUUAUCUACGCCGUGGAUGUCUGCAAUCAUAUGGGUUUCGCACUGCUUCUAACCGUCUGUUCAUUCGGACAAUACAUGACAAUUUGACCUCAAAUCAGGUAGGACUACCCGCUGAACUUAAGCAUAUCAAUAAGCGGAGGAAAAGAAACUAACAAGGAUUCCCCUAGUAACUGCGAGUGAAGCGGGAAAAGCUCAAAUUUAAAAUCUGGCGGUCUCCGGCCGUCCGAGUUGUAAUCUAGAGAAGUGUUAUCCGCGCUGGACCGUGUAC
rnacentral:rRNA from 1 species